rnacentral:lncRNA from 1 species
GGCUCCGAGGGGACCGGCGACGAGAGGUCGCGGCGCGGGGUCGGAGGUCAGAGGCUGAGGUCACCACCGUACCCGUCAGGCCGUGGCUAGAGAGGGGUCGGGGCUCGCCGGGACUCACCGACAGCUCGCUGGAAACGAGGCAUGUGGAAAUUGGGCCUCGCUGAGGCGCACAUAAGGCCCGGGCCGCGGGUAGACCGUGGGCGCUGAGGCCCUGCGCUGCCCAGCCCCCAAGUUCGCAUUGGGGGCUUCAUCCCGUUAUAUCCUAAAGCGGCCCCAGAGCCCUGCCUCGAACCCACUCACCUGCCGCCUCUGAAAGCCACUCACUUUCCGCCGCUGCGUUGCGGAAAAUCACCCUCCAGGGACCUUCCUUGCCCGCCCUGGGUUUCCGCAGCCGCCAGCCUUCGAUCGACUUUCCUACCCGCCGUGGACCCUCCUUGGGUUAUUUCGAGCUGUGGGGACCCACUGGGAACCCCAGAGUGGAUGUGAAGGUUAUUUUAAACUGAAGGCAUUUGAGACCCAACAGAUGUAAAAAGCAGCUUUGUCAGAGCUUUCCAUAUCUGAGAGCGAAGCCCGAAGUUGAACCAGGACAUUCAGUACCUAAAACAUGUGAAAUCUCUUGGGCCCCCGGAAUCACUAAGGAAAACUCAGGCUGGAAGCUGCUCAGGGCAAACCUGCCUCCCGCUCUAUUCAGAGUCACCCUCUGCUCGCUGAGAUAGAUGGAUAUCUGACUGACUCCUUUGAAAAGGCUCAUCAGAAGGCUGGGCGCGGUGGCGCACAUUGAGACCAGGAGUUCGAGACCAGCCUGGCCAACACGGUGAAACCCUGUCUCUACUGAAAAUACAAAAUUAGCCAGGUGUGGUGGUGCGCCCCUGUAGUCCCAGCUACUCGGGAGGCUGAGGCAGGAGAAUCGCUUGAACCUGGGAGGCGGAGGUUGCAGUGAGCCGAGAUCAAGCCAUUGUACUCCAGCCUGGCGACAGAGCAAGACUG